UCAGGUGUUUGACAAGCGAUUAAGUCCCUAGAAUUUCAAUCUAGUAACACGGGUUUGAAUCCCGUACACCUGAU
rnacentral:tRNA from 1 species